CCUACGGGGGGCAGCAGUGGAGAAUAUUGGACAAUGGGCGCAAGUCUGACCCUGCGACGCCGCGUGGAGGAAGGAAGCUCUCUGGAUUGUAAACUCCUGUUAUGUGGGAGAAAAUCAAAAAGAUAGUAUCACAUUAGGAACAGCUGGCUAAUUCUGAGCCAGCAGCCGCGGUAAUACAGAGGUUUCAAGCGUUGUUCGGAAUGACUGGGCGUAAAGUGUGCGUAGGCGGUUUGGUAAGUCGUGUGUGAAAGGCGCGGGCUCAACCCUCGAACUGCAUAUGAUACUGCGUGACUAGAGAAUAGGAGAGGUAGGCGGAAUUCAUGGUGUAGCGGUGAAAUGCGUAGAGAUCAGGAAGAACACUGAUGGCGAAGGCAGAUUACUGGACGAUAACUGACGCUGAGGCACGAAAGCGUGGGGAGCAAACAGGAUUAGAUACCCCUGUAGUC
rnacentral:rRNA from 1 species